ACACUGUGCCUGAACAUGUGCAUUCUCCUAUUCAUACACAUGCAAGCGAGCAGCAUGUAGUGUGGAAGCGGGACAUCGAGGUGGGACUGCAAUGCACUUUUUGGUUGUGCACAUAGCACAGCAUCUCGCUCCAACUGCUCCCAAUACACAUACAACGAAAGAGACGAAGGCAUUGACAGCGGCGUACAGCAAACAGAGCACAGAGAGAUGCUCAGCGCAUGUGAAAGGCCUUUGGACUGCAUAUUCCCAGUCCGCUCGUCGCUCGCAGGCAGGCAAACAGGCAGGCGCACCUGCCCCGCCCCAUUCGCUCUCACACACACACACAAUCAAUUCAGUCAGUCGCAGUGUGCCGACCAUUGAAGUCACUUGUUGCUGCAUGCUGUGAUGAAGCUUAGUAACACUCGCACCUGUUGACCAGACUGUCGCCAUCGACGGGCACGCCACAAUUGAUGCCCUGCGCAUGCACAUGCGACAUGGCACCUCGAUCGCCAUGCCUAAUGACCAACAACACCCCCUGCAACUUCCAACCCUCCAGAAUGCCGCCAUCAUCCAAGCGCGUUAGCUGCGCCAGAGGAGCACAACGUUCGCGAUACUUGGCAAAACGCUGCGAUGCACUGGAGUCCGCUGUGGAGGCAUCGCCGCCGAUGUUGCUGCUGGCGGGAGCGGAACCCGUGCCAGGGCCAUAGACGCCGCUGCCGCCGCCGUUGCCCAGAUUGCCAGAGUGCUCAGCAUUGCCCAUGUAGCGAUACAUGCCUUAAAAGAGAAAUAGUUUUAGAGGGAUGUGUAUUUGUUGAUAACCACUUGAUGGACUCACCUGCGAUGAGCAGAAAGAUCCACAGGCUGAGAAACAUGUAGCAAUAGAAUGUGCGAUGUUGCGUAGUGAAACGCGUCAGCUCCUUGAGCAACAAUCGCAUGGUGAACUGGGCAACGGCGACGCCACACAAACAUAUAAAAAGUGCUCUUAACGAUGGUCGACGCUGGAGGAUUGGUUGCGAGCUUCUUUAUUGGACUUUUUCGUCUAUUUUUGUUGGAUGUGAAAAGAGCCACGCUCGCUUUGGGGUUGCAAACAACACUGCAAAAGCAGAGUUGUUACGUGGAGCGCAUCGAAUUGGUGGAGCAUGCGCAUUGUGGCCAGCAAACAGCUGAUGGUGGACAUUUAUGUGCGUUGACAAGCAUUGGAUGCCUUUCUUUAAUCACGGCAAAUACAAUAUAGAGGCGUAAUACAUAUGACAGAUUUUGGUUAAAUAGUUAGGAGAGUUGCAAACUCACCCAACUUUACAAUGCGCAUGAGAUUAUUUAUGUUUAAAAUAUAGUAUCAAAGAUCAGAGAUCAUAUUAAUUUCAUGUAUAAUAAUGCUGUUGGCUUAGUCUUGGGCGGCAGCCAGAGCCAAGACGGUGAAACGCACUUCCUCGGGAUCGCGAGCCAUGAACUCCUUGCACACUUUGGCCGCGUCCUGCACGAAAGUCUCAUCUGAUGUCUUGCCAUGACUGAUGGGAUAGGACUUGCGACCAUCGAGUUCAUACAAAGUGUUCUCCUUGUUGACGAACGCAAUGAAGUGAUGGAUAACCGUCUCAUAGGCGCUGGCAUCGGUUUGUCCCUCCUGCGCCAGCUGCUGGUGAUCCUCGGUGAAGUCCUUGUCCUGCUCCAAGGCUUGACCACGCUCUUCGGCAGAGAGAGCAGCGCCCUUUACCAGGAAAUUCUUCAGCACACCGGGUCCAACCUCAAUGCUGUCAAGAGUAAAGUGAUUUAGAAUAUUAUAAUUUCAUUACAGGCGACAUUAGAAGCUUACUCCUUGUUGUUGGCCACACUGUGGAUUAAAGCGACUGUGCCGCAAGCAUUGUGCGUAAAUUGACGCAUAUAGAAAAGAUCUUCUGGAUACUUUUCCUCUUCGGCGGCGGUCUUGAUGCGCUCAUGUUCCUCGGCGCGAUGUUUCUCAUACUACCGAUAAGAUAUAGACAUGAUGACUAAGCAAAUUUGUUGGUGUAAAAAGGGAAAGGGAACUUACAGCAUCGCUGAUAGGGAAGAGCAAAAUAACGGCUUUGACGGGCCGGGGUAGAAAGCCGAGCAAAUCAUCAUCUAGACCGAUGACGUCAGUCACUGACCAGGAUGGCGACACGCCCAGCUUGUGAAUGUAUUUGGUCAGUACCUGGAAUGGGACGACGACGUCUUCUUUUUUAUACAGUGCCAAUCGCAAAAAUAAAAAUACAACACAAUUUUGCCAAGCAACCAAAUCCAAACAAAAUUCGCAAUUUGCACUUUUAUUUCUUUCGUUUUUAUUACUGCAAUAGAUAAGCACUCACCUCUGGGUUGGAUUCAAGUGGUGUCCAAGUCGACAUGUUGAUUAAAAUUCGCGUAUUUAGUAAUUUACUUGCACAGCGAGACAG